CUAUAGCGACAGCAUUCAUCAUCCUUAUGGACUAUUUCUGACAUCUGACCUCAAAUCGGGUAGGACUACCCGCUGAACUUAAGCAUAUCCAUAAGCGGAGGAACUUUUCAUAGGCCGGCUUGUGGGUGCACGUUCGCGUGCGUCUGUAGGUCUGGUUUAUGCUUUACUACAAACGAAUCAGUUUUAGAAUGUCAUACUUUGCUAUAACGCAAUUAUAUACAACUUUCAGCAACGGAUCUCUUGGCUCUCGCAUCGAUGAAGAACGCAGCGAAAUGCGAUAAGUAAUGUGAAUUGCAGAAUUCAGUGAAUCAUCGAAUCUUUGAACGCACCUUGCGCUCCUUGGUAUUCCGAGGAGCAUGCCUGUUUGAGUCUCAUGGAAUUCUCAACCUUCGACUUUGUUGUCGGAGGCUUGGACUUGGAGGUCGUGUCGGCUCUCGUAGUCCACUCCUCUGAAAUGCAUUAGUGCGAACGUUACCAGCCGCUUCAGCGUGAUAAUUAUCUGCGUUGCUGUGGAGGGUAUGCUAGUGUUCGCGCUUCUAACCGUCUUCGGACAACAUUUCUAAACUCUGAGCUCAAAUCAGGUAGGACUACCCGCUGAACUUAAGCAUAUCAAUAAGCGGAGGAA
rnacentral:rRNA from 1 species